rnacentral:rRNA from 1 species
UACGUAGGGUCCGAGCGUUGUCCGGAAUUAUUGGGCGUAAAGGGCUCGUAGGCGGUUUGUCGCGUCGGGCGUGAAAACUCAGGGCUUAACCCUGAGCCUGCUUCCGAUACGGGCAGACUAGAGGUAUGCAGGGGAGAACGGAAUUCCUGGUGUAGCGGUGAAAUGCGCAGAUAUCAGGAGGAACACCGGUGGCGAAGGCGGUUCUCUGGGCAUUACCUGACGCUGAGGAGCGAAAGUGUGGGGAGCGAACAGG